UAGCGGGAUUGAAGCUUGCUUCAAUCGCCGGCGACCGGCGCACGGGUGAGUAACGCGUAUCCAACCUUCCGUACACUCAGGGAUAGCCUUUCGAAAGAAAGAUUAAUACCUGAUGGUAUCUUAAGCACACAUGUAAUUAAGAUUAAAGAUUUAUCGGUGUACGAUGGGGAUGCGUUCCAUUAGGUAGUAGGCGGGGUAACGGCCCACCAAGUCGACGAUCGAUAGCCGGACUGAGAGGUUGAUCGGCCACAUUGGGACUGAGACACGGCCCAGACUCC
rnacentral:rRNA from 1 species